rnacentral:tRNA from 1 species
GGUCCGGUGGCGUAAUGGUAGCGCGUCUGACUACGACCCGCCGUCAGCUCGGUGAUUUCGAGACCAUCCGGCGAUAGGGAAUUAUGUAAUCAGGAGGCUGCAGGUUCGAGACCUGCCCGGAUCG